UCGGCAGCUGGAAAUACUGGGCCAGGAGAAGCUGAAGCUGGAGGCAGAGCUUGGCAACAUGCAAGGGCUGGUGGAGGACUUCAGGAACAAGUAUGAGGAUGAGAUCAACAAGUGUACAGAGAUGGAGAAUGAAUUUGUCCUCAUCAAGAAGGAUGUGGAUGAAGCUUACAUGAACAAAAUAGAGCUGGAGCCUCUCCUGGAAGGGCUGACUGAUGAGAUCAACUUCCUCUGGCAGCUGUAUGAAGAGGAGACCCUGAAGCUGCAGUCUUAUAUCUCGGACACGUCUCUGGUGCUGUCCAUGGACAACAGCCACUUCCUGGACAUGGACAGCAUCAUCACUGAGGUCAAGGCGAAGUAUGAGGAGCUUGCCAACCACAGCUGGGCUGAGGCUGAGAGCAUGUACCAGAUCAAAUAUGAGGAGCUGCAGAUGCUGGCUGGGAAGCACGGAGCGACCUGCAGCAAAGACUGAGAUCUCUGAGAUGAACCAGAACAUCAUCUGGCUCCAGGAUUACGUUGAGAGCCUCAAAGGCCAGAGGGCUUCCCUGGAGGCCUCCAUCACAGAUGCCUAGCAGCGUAGGGAGCUGACCCUUAAGUAUGCCAACGCCAAGCUGUCGAGCUGGAGGCCGCCCUGCAGCAGGCCAUGCAGGACAUGGAGCAGCAGUUGUGUGAGUACCAGGAGCUGAUGAACGUCAAGCUGGCCCUGGACAUCGAGAUUGCCACCUACACGAAGCUGCUGGAGGGUGAGGAGAGCUGGCUGGAGUCUGAGAUGCAGAACAUGAGUAUCCACACAAAGAACACCAGCAGCUAUACAGGUGGUCUGAGCUCGGCCUAUGGGGGCCUCACAAGCCCCAGCCUCAGCUACGGCUUGGGCUCCAGCUUUGGCUUUGGCAUGGGCUCCAGCUCCUUCAGCCACACCAGCUCCACCAGGCCAUGGUUGUAAAGAAGAUCGAGACCCGCGAUGGGAAGCUGGUGUCCAAGUCCUCUGACGUCCUGCCCAAGUGAACAGCUGUGGCAGCCCCUCCCAGCCUGCCCUUCCUGCGGCUGCCCCAGAGCCCAGGAGGGAGGCUGCUGUGCACGGUAGCACAGGGAACAGGAGACCCACCCGAGGCUCAGCCCUAGCCCUCAGCUUACCCAUGGGGGAGUUUACUGCCUGGGGACCCCUCUUGCCCAUGGCUCCAUCUACCAAACAAUUCAAUUGAUUUUUUCGUGUGUGUCCAAAAUAAAACCUCAGCUAGCUCUG